rnacentral:rRNA from 1 species
UAAGGAAUAUUGGUCAAUGGGCGCAAGCCUGAACCAGCCAUGCCGCGUGCAGGAAGACGGCCCUAUGGGUUGUAAACUGCUUUUGUCAGGGAAUAAACCCCCGCUCGUGAGCGGGGCUGAAGGUACCUGAGGAAUAAGCAUCGGCUAACUCCGUGCCAGCAGCCGCGGUAAUACGGAGGAUGCAAGCGUUAUCCGGAUUCAUUGGGUUUAAAGGGUGCGCAGGCGGAUUGGUAAGUCAGGGGUGAAAUCCCACAGCUCAACUGUGGAACUGCCUUUGAUACUGUCAGUCUAGAGUAUAGUUGAAGUGGGCGGAAUGUGUCAUGUAGCGGUGAAAUGCUUAGAUAUGACACAGAACACCGAUCGCGAAGGCAGCUCGCUAAGCUAUAACUGACGCUCACGCACGAAAGCGUGGGGAUCAGACAG